ACGUAGGGGGCGAGCGUUGUUCGGAAUUAUUGGGCGUAAAGGGCGCGUAGGCGGGGGAUUAAGUUGGGUGUGAAAUCCCUGGGCUCAACCCAGGAGGUGCAUCUAAUACUGGUUGUCUUGAGUUCGGGAGAGGAAAGCGGAAUUCCCGGUGUAGCGGUGAAAUGCGUAGAUAUCGGGAAGAACACCAGUGGCGAAGGCGGCUUUCUGGACUAGAACUGACGCUGAAGCGCGAAAGCGUGGGGAGCGAACGG
rnacentral:rRNA from 1 species